UCGCCAAUCGACCCUGCCUGUGGGGAAGAGCGGCGAGCAUCGCAACACAGGCUCGCAGCAAAGUCCGCCCCGGAUGGCGCUGUUAAAACUCUUAGGGGCCCGGCUUUCACGUCCUGCCAGUUGGGUUGUGAAGGCUUAAAUCAAUAAACUUGGCUAAGCAUGUAGAUCUGCAGAUGGAUUGCUGACGGACGCGGGUUCGAUUCCCGCCGGCUCCACCA
rnacentral:tmRNA from 1 species